rnacentral:rRNA from 1 species
UGAGUACGAGAUGCUACGGCAUCGAAGCAGUCUAUGUCAUACUUCCAAGAAAAGCUUGCACUGUCAUAAACAAAGAAUGCCUGUACCAUAACCGACACAGGUGGGUAGGUAGAGUAUACUAAGGGGCGCGAGAUAACUCUCUCUAAGGAACUCGGCAAAAUGACUCCGUAACUUCGGGAGAAGGAGUGCCUUAUUUCUAAGGUUGCAAUAACAAGAUCCAAGCAACUGUUUACCAAAAACACUGGUCUCCGCUAAGUCGUAAGACGAUGUAUGGGGGCUGACGCCUGCCCAGUGCCAGAAGGUUAAAGAAGUUGGUUAGCAUUAGCGAAGCUGAUAACUGAAGCCCUGGUGAACGGCGGCCGUAACUAUAACGGUCCUAAGGUAGCGAAAUUCCUUGUCGGGUAAGUUCCGACCCGCACGAAAGGCGUAAUGAUUUGGAUACUGUCUCGGAGAGGGGCUCGGUGAAAUAGACUUGUCUGUGAAGAUGCGGACUACCUGCACCUGGACAGAAAGACCCUAUGAAGCUUUACUGUAACUUGAGAUUGAAAUUGGACUUUAUUUGCGCAGUAUAGGUGGGAGGCGUUGAGAAUAAUCUUGCGGGAUUGUUGGAGCCAUCAGUGAGAUACCACUCUUGUAAUGUUAGAUUUCUAACUUUGUAUCAUUAUCUGGUCAAAGAACAGUUUCAGGCGGGCAGUUUGACUGGGGCGGUCGCCUCCCAAAGGGUAACGGAGGCGCACAAAGGUUUCCUCUGAACGGGUAGAAAUCGUAUCUAGAGUGUAAAGGCAUAAGGAAGCUUGACUGUGAGACCUACAAGUCGAGCAGGGACGAAAGUCGGUCUUAGUGAUCUGACGGUGCUGAGUGGAAAGGCCGUCACUCAACGGAUAAAAGUUACUCUAAGGAUAACAGGCUGAUCUCCCCCAAGAGUUCACAUCGACGGGGAGGUUUGGCACCUCGAUGUCGGCUCAUCGCAUCCUGGGGCGGUAGUCCGUCCCAAGGGUUGGGCUGUUCGCCCAUGAAAGCGGUACGCGAGCUGGGUUCAGAACGUCGUGAGACAGUUCGGUCCAUAUCCGGUGUAGGCGUUAGAAUAUUGAGAGGAGCCUUCUCUAGUACGAGAGGACCGAGAAGGACAUACCUCUGGUGUACCAGUUAUCGUGCCAACGGUAAACGCUGGGUAGCUAUGUAUGGAGUGGAUAACCGCUGAAAGCAUCUAAGUGGGAAGCCCACCUCAAGAUAAGUAUUCCC